UUCACUGCGGGUACGUUGUCAGCCUGAGUUACACAUCUAUCCCACAUCAUGGACCACAGCUUCCAGUCUCGCAAAAAGUGGAUCCAGUGGAAGCGGUAGAAACCAAAAUUGACGCCCUAUCCCAGCAUUUUCAUGAAGAGGCUGGUGAGAACCACAAAAAAACUUCGGUCAGGCGAAUCACCGAGCUGAGAUUUUGAACCCAGGCGGUGGAAGCGGUAGAAACCAAAAUUGACGCCCUAUCCCAGCAUUUUCAUGAAGAGGCUGGUGAGAACCACAAAAAAACUUCGGUCAGGCGAAUCACCGAGCUGAGAUUUUGAACCCAGGCGGUGGAAGCGGUAGAAACCAAAAUUGACGCCCUAUCCCAGCAUUUUCAUGAAGAGGCUGGUGAGAA